UGAGGAAUAUUGGUCAAUGGACGAGAGUCUGAACCAGCCAAGUAGCGUGCAGGAUGACGGCCCUAUGGGUUGUAAACUGCUUUUGUUUGGGAAUAAUCGACAUUACGUGUAAUGUUUUGCAUGUACCAUUCGAAUAAGGACCGGCUAAUUCCGUGCCAGCAGCCGCGGUAAUACGGAAGGUCCAGGCGUUAUCCGGAUUUAUUGGGUUUAAAGGGAGUGUAGGCGGUUGGUUAAGCGUGUUGUGAAAUGUAGAUGCUCAACAUCUGACUUGCAGCGCGAACUGGCUGACUUGAGUACACACAACGUAGGCGGAAUUCAUGGUGUAGCGGUGAAAUGCUUAGAUAUCAUGAAGAACUCCGAUUGCGAAGGCAGCUUACGGGAGUGUUACUGACGCUUAAGCUCGAAGGUGCGGGUAGCGAACAGG
rnacentral:rRNA from 1 species